rnacentral:tRNA from 1 species
GCGCGGAUGGCGGAAUUGGUAGACGCGCUAGUUUGAGGGGCUAGUGGGUAACACCGUGGGGGUUCGAGUCCCCCUCCGCGCA